UUGGGCUAGGUCGGGGCCAGGGGUCCCGGCACCGUAAAUCCCCUUUAGACGGACCGAAUGCCCCGGGCGUUGUGAUGGAUUGGCGCGCCCUUUUUCGUAAGCGUCGAAACCCUGCCUUAUAUGGCAGAGGAAUGCGCGAAUCUGGUCAGACCGAAAGGAGCAGCCAUAAGUUUAUUCCUCUGUGCUUGUAAGUUCACAGGGUGGAGCCCAAGAUAAAGGCUACACGUCAAUAUAUCGCGGCAAACGGGGAAGCCCGC
rnacentral:SRP_RNA from 1 species